rnacentral:rRNA from 1 species
AACGAACGCUGGCGGCAGGCCUAACACAUGCAAGUCGAGCGAGAUCUUCGGGUCUAGCGGCGGACGGGUGAGUAACGCGUGGGAAUAUGCCUCUUGGUACGGAAUAGCCUCGGGAAACUGGGAGUAAUACCGUAUGUGCCCUUUGGGGGAAAGAUUUAUCGCCAAGAGAUUCGCCUGCGUUGGAUUAGGUACUUGGUGGGGUAAUGGCCUACCAAGCCGACGAUCCAUAGCGGGUUUGAGAGGAUGAUCAGCCACACUGGAACUGAGACACGGCACAGACUCCUACGGGAGACAGCUGUGGGGAAUCUUAGACAAUGCGGGCAACCCUGAUCUAGCCAUGCCGCGUGAGUGAUGAAGGGCUUAGAGUUGUAAAGCUCUUUCAGCUAAGAAGAUGAGGACGAUACCAGCAGAAGAAGACCCGGCAAACUCCGU